AUGCCAGGUGUUCCCAGGGGACUGGCUGAGCAUCGCCUAAGAGUUGACUCGUCUGCGAAGCCAGUCAAAGAACAUCUUCGACGGUCCGCCGUCCAGAAGAGAAAGGCCAUCGGUGAAGAAGUGGCUCGACUGUUGGCGGCAGGAUUUAUCCGAGAGAUAUACCACUCCGAGUGGCUCGCUAAUGUCGUCAUGGUUCCUAAGAAGGACAAGUCGCUCCGAAUGUGCAUUGAUUUCAAGCACAUCAACCGGGCCUGCCCGAAAGAUCACUUUCCUCUCCCUCGCAUAGAUCAAAUUGUUGACUCGACCGCGGGAUGCGAGAGGUUGUCUUUUUUAGAUGCUUACUCCGGGUACCACCAGAUCCGUCUGUACGGGCCCGAUGAG
rnacentral:rRNA from 1 species